rnacentral:snoRNA from 3 species
CUAGCAUAUGACGAUAACCAAGACAGGGACUCUGCAGCGCUCCCGGUUUCAUAUCGGGGGCGCGGAUGAUGCAUCCGUCUAGGGGAAUCUCUGAUGCUAU